GUGGGAGGGGGCUUGCCCCCGAUGGCGGUAUUUCAGUCAGCUUAUCUGUAACUGACCCACCGCUAUCGGGGGCAAGCCCCCUCCCAC
rnacentral:misc_RNA from 1 species